GACGAACGCUGGCGGCGUGCUUAACACAUGCAAGUCGAACGGAAAGGCCCUGCUUUUGUGGGGUGCUCGAGUGGCGAACGGGUGUGUAACACGUGAGUAACCUGCCCUUGACUUUGGGAUAACUUCAGGAAACUGGGGAUAAUACCGGAUAGGAGCUCUUGCUGCAUGGUGGGGGUUGGAAAGUUUCGGCGGUGGGGGAUGGACUCGCGGCCUAUGAGCCUGUUGGUGGGGUAGUGGCUUACCAAGGCUUUGACGGGUAGCCGGCCGGAGCGGGUGAACGGCCACACUGGGACUGAGAUUCGGCGCAGACGCCUACGGGAGGCAGGAGUGGGGAGUGUUGCACAGUGGGCGGAAGGCUGAUGCAGGAACGGCGCGUGCGGGAUGGCGGCCUUCGGGUUGUAAACCGCUUGCGCCUGUGUCGAGGCGUGAGUGACGGUAAUGGGUAAAGAGGCACGGGCUAACUAGGU
rnacentral:rRNA from 1 species